rnacentral:rRNA from 1 species
GGCUGAAACUACGCCUACAUGAAGCUGGAAUUGCUAGUAAUCACAGGUCAGCAUACUGUGGUGAAUACGUUCCCGGGCCUUGUACACACCGCCCGUCACACCAUGAGAGUUGAGAAUACCCGAAGCCCAUGUCAAAGUGGUCGAAGGUAGGCUUGAUGAUUGGGGUGAAGUCGUAACAAGGUAAC